CAGUCGCCGCGGUAAUACAGAGGAUGCAAGCGUUAUCCGGAAUGAUUGGGCAUAAAGUGUCUGUAGGUGGCUUUUCAAGUCCGCCGUCAAAUCCCAGAGCUCAACCUAGGACAGGCGGUGGAAACUACCAAGCUGGAGGACGGUAGAGGCAGAGGGAAUUUCCGGUGGAGCGAUGAAAUGCGUUGAGAUCGGAAAGAACACCAACAGCGAAAGCACUCUGUUGGGCCGACACUGACACUGAGAGACGAAAGCUAGGGGAGCAAAUGGGAUUAGAUACCCGAGUAGUCCCUGUCUCUUAUAC
rnacentral:rRNA from 1 species